rnacentral:rRNA from 1 species
UACGAAGGGUGCAAGCGUUGUUCGGAAUUACUGGGCGUAAAGCGUGCGCAGGCGGUUUUGUAAGACAGGUGUGAAAUCCCCGGGCUUAACCUGGGAACUGCGCUUGUGACUGCAAGACUCGAGUACGGCAGAGGGGGGUAGAAUUCCACGUGUAGCAGUGAAAUGCGUAGAGAUGUGGAGGAAUACCGAUGGCGAAGGCAGCCCCCUGGGUCGAUACUGACGCUCAUGCACGAAAGCGUGGGGAGCAAACAGG